AUUGAACGCUGGCGGCAGGCCUAACACAUGCAAGUCGAACGGCAGCACAGAAGAGCUUGCUCUUUGGGUGGCGAGUGGCGGACGGGUGAGUAAUGUCUGGGAAACUGCCCGAUGGAGGGGGAUAACUACUGGAAACGGUAGCUAAUACCGCAUAACGUCGCGAGACCAAAGUGGGGGACCUUCGGGCCUCACACCAUCGGAUGUGCCCAGAUGGGAUUAGCUAGUAGGUGGGUUAAUGGCUCACCUAGGCGACGAUCCCUAGCUGGUCUGAGAGGAUGACAAGACAACCUGGCACUGGGACACGGUCCAGACUCCUACGGAAGGAAGCAGUGGGGAAUAUUGCACAAUGGGCGCAAGCCUGAUGCAGCCAUGCCGCGUGUAUGAAGAAGGCCUUCGGGUUGUAAAGUACUUUCAGCGGGGAGGAAGGCGGUGAGGUUAAUAACCUCGCCGAUUGACGUUACCCGCAGAAGAAGCACCGGCUAACUCCGUGCCAGCCGCCGCGGUAA
rnacentral:rRNA from 1 species